ACCCUUCGUCCUCAGCCAAAUACCCUUCGUCCUCAGCAAAAACCGCCGCCGCAUUGUGACCGCCGCCGCAUCCUCCUCCAUUGUGACCACCGCCGCGUUUCAAUCUCCGACUGUCUCCAUCUCGGCAAUUGAAUCUCCGCCUCCAACAGCGCGAUUUCGACCACCGCCGCACCUCCGACGACGCGAUUUCAACCGCCGCCUUUUGACGACGACUCUGGAGCAACAUUCACGGUCGGAGCUUCUCUCAUUCUGCUGCCUCCGACACACUACUGCUCAGCUACCACAACAAACCACCCGAUAAGUUUCUGCUCACUUCCACCUUCUCAAUCAAUCUCCACCGUUCGUUUCCCUUCCUCAAACGCAAUUCUCGCUUCUUCGACCGUUGCUGCGCUACCAAUUCUCCGUCAGAACCGCCUUCAGAGGAUCAGCUGCCUCCAUCUUCAGGAUUUUGGAAGAUAAUCUACUUGAAGGAAAUCUACCAGAAAACCUUGGAAGUUUGAGUAAUUUGAGGCUGCACCUUCUGAGCAUCAAUUUCUCCCGCUCCGAACUGGGUUCUGGAGAGGACGUCCUCAAAGAGCAGACCAUGUGGCCUUCGCGCCUCUCUCUCAUCGGUGAUGCCAUCCUCAACGAGCGUGAAGUCCGGACAUAUGAAAGCGCAAGUGUGUUGUCUCUAGCAACUUUUACUUCUUUGUUGAUCGAGUUCGUUGCCAGGCUUCAGAACCUGAUUCACUCGUUCGAGGAACUCAGCGAGAAGGCCAAGUUCCGGGAGCCGUUUGAGACGAUGGAAACACAAACCAGCACCGGUUUAUGCUCCAAAGUGCUCAAAUGCUUAUGCUGCAAAGACUAAUGCAGUCUCUAGAAUCACAGGUCGCGAAAGUUGUUGAAGAAUGCAUGCAUAACUAUCUAAUGUACGAGCACCUACUGCAAGUUAGCCUUGUUCAUCCUGAGAAAGUCCAUCCAAGAUUUGUUGCUUGGACAGGUGCAGGGGAAAAGGAGUAAAUGCUUUAUAGCUUCUUGUAGUAAUACCUUGUGUGAUCCAUGAGAUUGACAAGUGAAAGGACAAUAUUGGUUAUGAAGACCUCUGUUAGUUUUGGA